AGUGAACGCUGGCGGCAGGCCUAAUACAUGCAAGUCGAACGGCAGCACAGUGGAGCUUGCUCCAUGGGUGGCGAGUGGCGGACGGGUGAGGAAUACAUGGGAAUCUGCCCAGUCGUGGGGAUAACGUAUGGAAACGUACGCUAAUACCGCAUGCGCCCUUCGGGGAAAGUCGGGGACCGCAAGGCCUGACGCGAUUGGAUGAGCCCAUGUUCGAUUAGCUAGUUGGCGGGUAACGGCCCACCAAGGCGACGAUCGAUAGCUGGUCUGAGAGGAUGAUCAGCCACACUGGAACUGAGACACGGUCCAGACUCCUACGGGAGGCAGCAGUAGGGAAUAUUGGACAAUGGGCGCAAGCCUGAUCCAGCCAUGCCGCGUGAGUGAAGAAGGCCCUCGGGUUGUAAAGCUCUUUGUUGGG
rnacentral:rRNA from 1 species